GACGAACGCUGGCGGCGUGCCUGACACAUGCAAGUCGGACGGUUCUUGUAUCUUCAAGCUUGCUUGCAGGUGCAAGGAUAGUGGCGGACGGGUGAGUAACGCGUGAACAUCUACCCAUUGGAGGGGGACAACCCGUCGAAAGGACGGGCGUAAUACCGCGUAAGCCGCGAGGUGAGAGGCUGCCUAUUGGUGGCCGCCGAUGGAUGGGUUCGCGUCCUAUCAGCUGGUUGGUGGGGUAACGGCCUACCAAGGCGAAGACGGGUAGCCGGUCUGAGAGGAUGGCCGGCCACACUGGAACUGAGACACGGUCCAGACUCCUACGGGAGGCAGCAGUGGGGAAUAUUGGGCAAUGGGGGAGGACCCUGACCCAGCGACGCCGCGUGAGGGAUGAAGGUUUUCGGAUCGUAAACCUCUGUUGUACGGGAAGAAGGAUGUGACGGUACCGUACGAGAAAGCCCCGGCAAACUACGUG
rnacentral:rRNA from 1 species